rnacentral:lncRNA from 1 species
AAACUUCAAAUACCACCUCGUAGGGUUUUUAUUUUUACAUUUAGUAAUCAUGUUUAAAGACUGUAUACACUUUAGUACCAAUAGUGGUUUAAUUUUUCUACUUGAUUUGAUCGGCUCCUCAGUUAAUAUUUCGUUAAGAUUUAUAUCAAAAACCUUAGAUAUCAUACCUAGAUUGAAUGAAUAUUCACUUUAUAACUUUUGUUUAACUUUUUCAUGAUUUAUAAAAAAAUUAAUAUAGAGGAGAUAAUAAUAAAGAAAAAUAAACAAUGAUAUAGAAUUAACAUAUUUUAAAUACAGAGUAUUUAAAGUGAGAAAUGCGAAACUACAGGAGUAGUAUUUGAAGUUUUAUUUUUUCUUUUUUUAAGGAAGAAACAAGAAAGACACCACCUCUAAUUGAAAGGACAUGUAAGGGACAUGAUAUUAAUAUUUUCUUUUUGAAAAAUUGAUAUAUUUUGAAUUUAUCUACAAAAUAAUUAGGUGCUGCUUCAUUAGUUAGCUAAUGAAUGCUCAGCUUUGAAAAUGGACCUAAAUCAGUGAAGUUUGGCCCUAAAAUUGAUCCGUAAGGUUUUUGAACCUCAAAACAAGUUUUGCCAAGUUCAAGCUGGUCAAUAAUAGAGUCAAUUUGGAAAAGAGGUUGUUUUCUUCGGGUUUUAACGUUCAAUUUGAGAUUUGGAUUUGAUUGAUUUUGUAAUCUCUAUUGUUCUGCAAAUUCGGGACCCGUAAUCUAUUUGGGCUAUUUCAGGCCAAGCUGAAUUGGCAUGAAUUCAAUUGCUAGGCUAGCUUGGUUGGUUUAUUAGAUGUUGUUUUUCUUUGUGAGAAGAGAAGAGAGGAGAGAGAGUAAAGCUAAAAAUUAUCCUCUUCAUUAUAAUUUGCAUAAAAAAUAGAGUAACUAAAAAUGUAAAAGUAAGUGAUUUUGAAAUUUUGAAAACUUGCAAUACCCGAUCGGAGUAUUUAAUCAAACUGACCAUGGUCAGUAAUGGAAGUAAUUAUUUUUAUUUAGAGCAUUGGUUUCUUCCGUCGUCGAGCAGAAGGCUAGUUGUACUUCGUUGAUCUGUAAGCAUGGGCAAGUCAGAUCAAGCAUAUGAUCUCCUCGUGCCGUUGUGNNNNNNNNNNNNNNNNNNNNNNNNNUUAUUAUAAUAUUAUAUAUAUUAUAAUUAAUUAUAUUUAUAUCUAAAGCGGCUGCUGCACUACUAGGGCCUCACGGGGUCUCCUGUUGUCCUGUGAAGCCCGUUUUCGAUGAGAUUUCGAUCGACGAUCGUGCUAGUUAGAUUGAUUUAGCGCAUUAAAGUUUUCUGCAAAAAUUUUUGCAGAAUUUUUCAGAUAUAUUUCCCUAGUGUAGAAAGGAUGUCAAAUCUUAUUUUUAAUGGUUGAUAUCGUUGCGUUUUCCAGUUUAAUGGUGUUGAAGUAUUCGAAUCAGAUAAUUUGAUAGAAAUUCUUUAUACUAUUCAAAAGAUUUAUUUUCUGAUCGAAAUUUUCGUGUUAUAUCACACAUUUUUUAUAGAUUUUGUAUUUAACGUAAAAAUAUUGAUUUGAAUCCUUUUGAUUGCUAGAGUAAAUGAUAUGAAAAAUCGCCAAAAAUUAUUUCAGACGUUUAAUUGCGAUAGAUACCUUUACGGAAGCAGAAUCAUUCGAUUCGAAACUCUAUCAUCGAACGGAUCAGGGCAGGGAGGCUUCCGUGCUCUCUGAGAGCACAGCAGCGCUAUAUAUAUAAUAUAUAUUAAAAAGCAUCUAUAUAUAUAUAUUAUAUAUAUAUAUUAUAAUUUUAUAUUUCUAUAUUACUAUUAUAUUUAUUAUAGGAUUCAUCUGGUGAGAUAAAGGGCAUCUUAAAUAAGUGAGGAAUUGAUUUUCACGCUAGAAAAGAGUUUUUCAAUGUAUUAGUUCCGCAAGUACCUUUAGUUUCAUAAAGAGUAUAUUUACCUUCUUUAGAAAAUGUAGUGGAUUGAUUUGUCAAAUAUUGUUCGAAGCCAAAACUUGAAGAUCAAUACUAUCUGUUGGCAACACACGCCUGUGUUUCAAACUAUUUUCGUUUUUUCGCAAGGAGAAUUGAAGCGCAAGGUAACCAAAAAAUUUUUUUUUUUUCAUACGAAUAAUACUUUUUCUUCUGAAAACCGUGUCUUGAAUUUUUUACGUAGACAUAUUGUGAGGACGGCAAGUCAAUAACCGGAAAUCACGAUGCUUUAUCAAAGCGGAUAAUAUUGUAAUUUAUUCUAUACAUGAAAUAUAAGAAUAUGUUAGCCAAUGAAUCUAUAUAUUAAUUUAUGUUCAAUCGAUCUUUUUCAUUAAAUGAACUACUAAAUGCAUGUAAGUUAUAUAUAUAAAGGUGUAAAAAGAGGAUAAAUAUGUAAAAAAUGAGAUAUUAUUUUUUCGUUUUGCGUUUUGAUUGAUCUAAGCCGCACCAAUAUAUAUCUAUUGUAGUUAUAAUUGGACCUUAAAUCAUAUAAAUAAUAAUUAUAAAGCUGAUAAUAACCCCAGUUUUUCUAACAAAAUUCACAAAGAUCAGAACAAAUUUAAUUUCAUUUUUAACCACUCUAAACAACAUUCUGAGGGAAUUCACGUGCAUUUCUUUUUGUUUCUAUUUGUGCGAAGUUUCACACGUUGCAAUUUGGUGGACUCUCCACUUGCUUUACAAUUUUGUUUAAAGGUAAUUUGUAAAAAAAAAAAAAAAGAAAAGAAAAGAAAAGAAAAAGAAAAUCCACUUGUGCUUUAAUAUAUAUGCAUCAUCAUUAAUGUGCCUCUCUAUAAGGAUAAAUUUCAAUCCUGCUUUACUAUAUUGUCACAAAAGUUUAAAAUUUUGAAAUGUAUUUACUCGAGUGAAUUCACAUAAAUUAAAUAAAUUGUUCAGUAGCUUAUAACCUAUUUUUGUUGGCUAAAUAUUGACAAAUUAUUAAUAUAAGUUCAAUGUGAGAGUAUUGUAAUUAAUGAUGCAAUGAUAAUUAAGAUGCUGCAUCACUUUUAAAUCAACCAUACGUCAAUAUUUAGUCAGUUAAAUUAGGUUAUAGAAACUUGAUUGUAAUAAUUCUAAAGUUCGAAUUAAAAAUUAUAAUAAAUUAAGGUUUAAGAACCAAAAUAUUACCCGCCUCAUAGUUUUAAGGACCGGACAUGCAAUUUACCCUUUAUGUAAUUUUAGUCAGGAAGGGAAAAGAUAAAAUUAUUGCUUCUUUGGGAAUUCCACUUACUUGACCUUUUUUUUUCUUUUUUUUUUUUCCUUUUUGGUUGCUUAUUGCGUGUGGUGCUGAAUCUUUGUGAAGUGCUUUAUUAAUUCCUUGUUUGGUUUUUCCUUCUCCAGUAAGACAUUUUGUUAGUGUUUAUUUUUAGAAGUGAAUAUGAUACUAUUUUUCCUUGUUUGUUAAUUAUUAAUUCCUUGUUUAUUUUGUUAGUGUGGUGACUCCCCUAGGCUUUGGUACGUAGAUGAUUGACUCCUACUUUUCGCUACAGUUUAUUUUAAUAUAAUAUUCAUAAAUAAUAAAAUCAAAAAAGAAAGUUUUUAAGAGAAGGCCGAAAAUAAAAUUUUAGGUUUCAAAAACAAAAAUAACUCAGAAAGGCUUUUACGCAACCUUUAGGCCAUGCUUAUCUCAUAUUUAUAUUGCCUACCAUCCAAUUAAUAUAUUAUAGCUUGUUUGCGUGCUAAUGUAUGUGAUACGAAGAGUUUUGAUUGAUUCAUGCACGUAAUAGAAGGCAUCGGACAGAUUAAUUAAUAUGGCGAAUCAAUAAGAGAUUUUUUUGUAAGGAACGUUCACUAUUCUUCAAAUUUUAAAUAAAAAGUAUUCUCUUUCACUAGAUCAUAGAGAUUGAAUGAGUACUCUUUAAAUGAGCAAAUAGGUCUUUUUUUGCAUUUAGAUCCCUGGCAAAUUUUUAUUUUAAAAAUAGCCUUGUCAAAAUUUAAUUUGCAAAAAUGGCCCUACCCCUACCACGCANNNNNNNNNNNNNNNNNNNNNNNNNNNNNNNNNNNNNNNNNNNNNNNNNNNNNNNNNNNNNNNNNNNNNNNNNNNNNNNNNNNNNNNNNNNNNNNNNNNNNNNNNNNNNNNNNNNNNNNNNNNNNNNNNNNNNNNNNNNNNNNNNNNNNNNNNNNNNNNNNNNNNNNNNNNNNNNNNNNNNNNNNNNNNNNNNNNNNNNNNNNNNNNNNNNNNNNNNNNNNNNNNNNNNNNNNNNNNNNNNNNNNNNNNNNNNNNNNNNNNNNNNNNNNNNNNNNNNNNNNNNNNNNNNNNNNNNNNNNNNNNNNNNNNNNNNNNNNNNNNNNNNNNNNNNNNNNNNNNNNNNNNNNNNNNNAGAAGCCGGACCCUAUAUAUAUAUAUAUAUAUAUAUAUAUAUAAUUUAUUCGGGUUUGGAUUCAGAUAAUAUUUCGGAUAUCCAUACUUUUUGAUAUCCCUACUCUUUAUUCCACUUUUCAAUAUACAAAAAAUACGUAUUAAACACGGUGAACCAUUCACCGUGUUUAGAUACGGUGAAUGAUUCACCGUAUUCAACUUAAUGUCCUGGCCCCAGCCCUGCCCGCGUGGCGCUGACGUGGCGCCUGCGUGGCAGGGACAGGGCCGUUUUUGCAAUUUUAAUUUUGAUAGAGCUAUUUUUAAAAUAAAAAUUACUCAUGGGGCUAUUUGCAAAAAAAACCCGAGCAAAUAUUAUGUAUUGAUCGUUAAAAUUAUAAAUUUUCUGAUCCGUUGAUAUUAGUUCAAUGAUAUCAAAAAAGAUAUAAAUUUUGUUUCUAAAACAGACCGUGAUUUGGAAUCUCUAUCAUCGAAAACAGAUCAAAAAUUCAUUUACUAUCAAUUGAAGCCAAACUCUCUCUUUAUGUAUAUAAAAUAAUAAUAAUAAUAAUAUAAUAAUAAUAAUAUCUCUCUAAAGAGAGAGAGUGAGAGUGAGCCCACUUAAUUACUAUGUUAUUAAUAGGACAACUUCUUUUUGUCUGUCAAGUCAUUUUCGAUGAUUAAGAGUCCGAAUCAGUGGGCGGUUAGUAUAGUCAAACAUGAUCUAAAACAUAUAAAGUGUCUCAAAAUUAAAUUUCAUGAUUUUUAAAAGUCAUUAUCUAGUUCAUCAAAAAAAUUAUAAAAUAAAUAGUAAAAAAUGAAUAAAGUUAUGCAAUAGAGGUUAGAACUUCUCAAUACAAAAUCGGUAUGGUCAUGAUCAGACAGUGAAAAAAACUUUCUAUAAAAAAUUUAAUAAAUUUAAAUUAUUUUACACUAUUAAACGAGCAAAUAAUUUAUAUGUCGGUUCGAGCUCUUAAUCAUUAAAAACGACUUGACAGAAUAGGGUGCUUUGUCUUUGUCUAAUUAAUGAGAUAAUAACUAAUCAGUAGGACAGUAACUAGAAUCUACAUAGAACCCAAUUACAUUUUUGUAGUGGGACUAGCAUAGGCAUGCAUACAGGCAUUCCAUUUUAUUUUGGGAAAACUUUAAAAAUUCUCCAUAUGGUUUCAAACUUUUUCAUUUUAGGUACUCUACUAUAGUUUAAAAUAUAUCAAGUUAGUACCAUAUGGUUUCACACUUUCUCACUUUAGUAUCCUAUGGUUUAAAGUGUAUCAAGUUAGUACUGUGUGAUUUUAUUUUUGUAUCAAGUUAAUACCGUGUGAUUUUAUUUUUAUAUCAAGUUAGUAUCCUGUGGUUUAAACCACAUGGGUACUAAAGUGAGAAAGUACAAAACAUAGGGUACUAAAGUGAGAAAGUACGAAACCACAGGGUACUAACUUGAUACACUUUAAACCACAGAAUACUAAAGUGAAAAAGUGUAAAACCACAGGGUAUUAAUUUGAUAUACUUUAAACCACAAGAUACUAAUGUGAGAAAGAGUAAAACCACAUGGGGCUAUUUGAAGUUUUCCCUUUUAUUUUUGCAGUGGGAAUAGUAUUACUCAGAUUAAUAAAAGAUUAAAUUAAUUGGAUAGGGACAACAUAUAUUUGGUAUGCAAAUUUUGUUGCAUAUUGACAAGUGGCUACAUAAUGUAGUUCCCAACAAGGGAAGUUAAUCUAUAAAUAUAAUUUUUUAUCUAUGGUAGUUAAUUGUGGUCAAUUGUUUGUGAAAGAAGUUUAUCUUUAAAAGGUUAUGCUAUUAAAAAAUAGUGUUUUAAUAUAAUAUUUUUUUAGUAAUCUUUUUCUUUAUGUCCGGAUUUGAUUUUUUUUUUUGAUAACUAGGCUCAAGACGUAGAUUUAAAUUAAAUAUAUAAAAGAGAAUUAUAUAAGGGGUUAUGUAUUUGCAUAUAACUACAGCUACAAUACUCUAGUUGUAACUAUAUACAAAUUCAAAUCCGGUGUCUGCUUUGAUGUUGUGACGCCCUAACUUCCCAGGGGGUCACCUAUCCUAGGACUACUCCCGUCCUAGCACGCUUAACUCUUUUAACCUCUUGGGCCUUGCCACCAUCCAAAAUGCUUAAGCCGGGUUAAGAGUUUAGCCCUAUUAUAUCUUAUUAUAUAGGACUAUUCAGGGUUUCACAAUCUCCCAUCCUUUAAGCCCUAACGUUCUCGUCAGGCUCAGACUCACAAGUACCAGGCGAUGUGAGACUUAUCUCGUUAGCCCUUCAUCCAGUCCCUGGUUCAGUCGAGACUCAUCUCACACUUUCGGCCGGUAAUUGGCUCUGAUACCAUCUGUGACGCCCCAACUUCCUAGGGGGUCAUCCAUCCUAGGACUAUUCCCGUCCUAGCACGCUUAACUCUCUUAACCUCUUGGGUCUUGCCACCACCCAAAAUGCUUAAGUAGGGUUAAGAGUUUAGCCCUAUUAUAUCUUAUAUAUAGGACUAUCCAGGGUCUCACAGAUGUAUUUAAAUUCAACUGUUGUAUUUGGAAUUAUGCGUAAAUUGAUCGUAGUUUCAACUAUAGCAACUUUAAAUAAAAGAUAAGCUUACUAUCGUAAUUAUUUUUAAAAUUGUAAAUACUUUUUUUUUUUUUUUCUACAUUGCAGGUAAUCGCACCACCACUCAUACAAGUGAUAAAAUUUUACAAAUUUAUUUUCUAACUACAUGUAUACAACAAAAUAAAUUUUUUGAUAGUUGCAGUAAUUUCUAUCGCUUCCGACCGAACAAGAUAUGUAUAGCUGCAAAUAUUGCAUCUCUAAAGCAUUACGUGGAACCAAACAGCCCCGUGAGUAGGAGCACGGUAGGAUUGAGCUGUUAGACAAUGAUAUUUUAAUAUAAUAUUAUAUAUUUAAUAUUUAUCGUAUCAAAAAUAAAUGGCUUACAUGUCUCGCCUUAUAAACCACUCAAAUAUUGAAAAUGUCAAAGUAUAAUAAGCCCCAGCCUGGUUGUAGUCUCUUCAGUUGAUUACCAGUCGUCCCUUGACUUGGAAUUCAUUUUAAAUUUAUACUAUUCUAAUUCGAGAAGUCACGGACUCGACCCUAUUUUCAGGCACUGCAGAAAAAUCAAAACUGCACCUUCAAAAUAGAUACUUAAUUAAUUAGAUCUGUGUGAGACUCCAGAUAAUCCUAUAUAUAAGAUAUAAUAGCUAGGGCUAAACUCUUAACUCGGCUUAAGCAUUUUGGGUAGUGGCUAGACCUAAGAGGUUAAGAGAGUUAAGCGUGUUAGGACCGGAGUAGUCCUAGGAUGAAUAACCCCCUGGGAAGUCGGGGCGUCACAGAUGAUAUCGGAGCCAAUUACCAACCGGAAGUGUGAGAUGAGUCUCGACUGAGCCAGAGUCUGGAUGACGGGCUAGCGAGACGAGUCUCACAUCGCCUGGUACUUGUGAGUCUGAGCCUGACGAGAACGUCAAGGCUUAAAGGAGGGAAGAUUGUGAGACCCCAGAUAGUCCUAUAUAUAAGAUAUAAUAGGGCUAAACUCUUAACCCGGCUUAAGCAUUUUGGGUGGUGGCUAGACCCAAGAGGUUUAGAGAGUUAAGCGUGCUAGGACGGGAGUAGUCCUAGGAUGGGUGACCCCCUAGGAAGUCGGGGCGUCACAUCUGAACCACCAGUAUAAAAAUAAAAAAUAAAAAGUUUUAGGAAAAACUUAACUUACCAUUGUAAGUACAAUGAAAACUUUGGUUAAAUGUCUUACGUGGUAAUUAAACACAAAUCAUCAGAAUUUAGGCUUGUGUUAUAUGUGUACAUGUACUAAUAUACACUUUGCAUAAAUAGCUCAUAUAUAUAUAUAUACCUUGUUGUUCUUAUAAUAAAAAAAAAAUUAAAUUACAGAAAAUUUUCUUGUAAAUAUUUAUUGUUUUUGUUUUUUCUCUCUAACUUUAAUUCAAAAAUCUAUAUUUUAUAUUUUUAAUAUUUCAAAUUAUUGCAUUUAGUCCACCUCCAGUAGGAUUUCAUCACAAUUCCUUCCAUCACUAUUCUUUUUAUUUUUAUAAUUUAUAUCGAAAAAUACGCUUCAAAAUAACAAAAAUAUAAUAAAAAAUAUUUUUUCUUAUAGAAAAAGUAAGAAUAAUUUAAUUGCUCAUUUUGCUCUCUCUAUUAAUGCCGUACCCUCCUAAAAAUAUUUCAAAAAUUUUCAGUAGGAAUCGACUAUCUCUAGAGCACGUGACGAAGGGUUUGGUGGUUGGGACAUGAGGUCCCAAGUUCGAAAUUAGUUGAUUCAUUUUUCCAGCUAAGUUUAUUUCUAAAUGAAAUAAACGAAGAGGGUAGCGUGCUAUCUAUCCCUAAAAAAAAAAAAUUUGAAUAGAAAAAAUUUUAGAUUUUUAAACAUAAAAAAAUAAAAAAUAAAUAUUUACAUAAUUUUUUUUUGUAAUUUAGUCUAAUUAUAAAAAUACAUUUGUGUGUAAAGUUCACGCGUCAUUCCGGGCUAAAUGUAUUAUUUUUUUAUUUUUUUUUUUUGAGAGAAAAAUGUAUUAUUUUUUUAAGUACAUUAUUAUUGGGUUUAUUUUCUAUUAGUCUCUUGUUGACUUUUGAAUCCUUGUGAUGUAGACAUUAAUUUGUAACACUAGCUAGGGUACAACAUUAAUUAAUGCAUACAAUGAUGUAUUAAACUAAUAAAUGAGUCAUUGCUUGGUUCACCUAUUCUACAGAUCAUAGUGCUUAGCACAAUAAAAUAAUCCUUUUGAUAUAGGUUCUUUUUUUUUUAAAAAAAAAAGAUUUUCUACCUAAUAAAAUCCAUAAAUACUUUGAUAAACUAUUAAUAUGUGUGUGUGUAGGUUUCUCAUUGACUGAAGCUUAGCCCAUGACUAAUUAAAUUGCUAAUAUUAAUCACACUUGGAUUGCAAUUAACAAUAAUAAUAAAGCUUACAUUUUUAUUAAUGUAGCUAAAAUUACUCUUAGGUAAGCAUUUAAGGGUGAGUUGAAAAGGUGUACAACUGCUCUUUAAUGAAACCUCGUCUAAAUAUGUUAAUAUAAAAGUUCAGAAUACUAUUAAAAGUGAAUUAAUAUUAUUUAUUAUCUAUGUAUCACGGACACUUUUUUAAGCCUCGCGUGUCCGUAUCGGACUCGCGCAUAUCCAUGUCGGACUCGCGCGUGUCCGUGUUAGACACGUAUCUGAUAUGGACACUUCUUGGACGCUCAUUUAAUGCCGAUCCAUAGCGUAUACAACUAAAAAAUAUAUAUCUAUUUUUAUUUUACUUUUUUUAUACAUAUGUAAUGUAAGAUGAUAAAUAUUUUAGUUUUUUAAAGAAUGUAUAUAAUUUCUUUUUGACAAUAUAAACAAAUUAUGUAUGGUGGAAAAUUUCUUUUCUUAAAAUAUAUGAACUAUCAAUAAAAUUUUACUAACUUUUAUUCGUACGAUAAAUAUAAUAAUAUUUUAUCAAAAUUAAUAUUUUAUACAUAAUAAAAAUAUAUUAUUAUAUUAAUAAUAUUAUAUUUUAUUAGUAGUGUCCAUGUUGUAUCCGUGUUCUAAUUUUUUGAAAAUUGCUGAGUCACGGUGUUCGAGUCGUGUCCCGUGUCAGUGUCCGUGAUGCUUAGUUUAUUAUUAAACUUUUAGUCUUUAAAUUUUUAAUAGAGUCAUCACCAAAUAGUAAAUUUUAGGCAUCUAAAGAGAGAGAACUAGCUAUUACAGGGAUAGAUAUAAGUAUGGGGAUAAGAAAAAUAGUGUUUGGAUGAAAAUUAGGUUGUUCCCGGGAAUAAGAAUAAUUUUAGAUAGUUUUAUAUAGAAAAUAGAGGUGUUGGUGGGAAUAACCGAGAACUACUAUUCUCGGAUAAAAAAUUAGCGUUUGGGUAUAAAGGAGGGAUAAGGGCCUAUUCCUAUCCCUAUCCCCUAACCAAACGCAAUAAGAAAUAAAUAGCAAAUUCUAUUCUUCUAUUAUUAGUAGUAUUCUUAAUCCGGCUACAUUAAUACAAAUCGGAAGAAAAAUUAUAUUAAAACACGCCAAACAUGUAUUUUACGUAGAUUGCGGAGGAGUAUCAAAUUAAAAUUCUAUGUUUGAGGCUCAAAUUUUUUUGUCCUUUUAAAGGUGUCCUAGGAAAAAGCUACAUGUACAUUUAUAUAUACAUAUAAGUGUAAAUAUUGCAUCUCUCUAAUCUUAGAAUUUACAAAUUUUUUAAAAGUUUUUUUUAAUAUUAUAAAAAAGUUAAUAAAACUUGUAAAAUAAAUUAUAAUCUUUGGAUUAGUACGUAAGAUACAAAAUUCAGGUACAACAUCUCAUAUGCCCUUCAAAAGUUCAAAAAAAUCUCUAAUUUUCUAGAAUUUACAAAUGAGAUUAGAUUUUAGAAUAAUAUUUUUGGCAAUUUAAGGAUAAAUUUAAAUUUUUAAUAAUAAUAAGAAAUAAAUAAGUAAAAGUUUCUAAAAUUUAUAUCUAAUUUACAAGUGUACAGAUAGUACUGCUCAUUACGCGGACAAAUUCAUUCACAUUUACAUUCAAAAAAAAAAACAAACAAAUUCAUUCACACAUUACAGGAUAAGAGUUUGCUAAGAAUAAUUGUAGAAAUUUCGAACUAGCUUGAAUUCACACAUUACAGGAUAAGAGUUUUUUUUUUCUUUUGUGUUUUUGAAAAAGGUGCAUGCAUGGUUUCUAGAAGUAGUGGGAUAUAUGAUAACUUAUCACUUAUCCGAUACCUUGGAUUUAUAUCCAAGUAUAAUUCGCAAUAUUACCCAAUUUUUUUUAAAAAAAAUUGUGAGUAAUAAAACAUCUUAGCUUUGAAUAAUUGGAACUUGUGUACAAACUCCCCACUCAAUCAAUAAAUAACAAAAAAAAAGAAAGAAAAAUUAAGCACUCAUAUAAGUUCUCCACACCACAUAUUAAUCAGCAGGGUCUCCCAAGUCAAAAAAGAUCAAUAAAUAAAUAAAUAAAUAAAAAAUAAAACCCUUUUCUCACCUCCCUAAAUUUCCACCUUUAACCAAAAGCACCAAAACUCACAUACUAGUCAAUGCACACCCCAUACAUAGUUCACACUUCACACUCACUUUUAACUCUCCAAAUUAAGAGGAAUAAAUUAUUGCAUGGACCACGCUCUAUAGACCGAGACAAUUUAUUAUUAUUCAUAUAAUUUGCGUAACUAAUCUCCCACCUAUAAGAUACUACAAAAUAUGUAAACAAGUAUAGCGCUACUCUUAUCUGAACUAUUUAGAGAAUAUAAAUUAGAAUUAAUUUCAUACAUAUUCCUGCAAAUAUAAUAAAUAAUUUCAUAUAAUAUUUUUACAAAAGUCAUAAUAUUUUCAAAUGCCUUUUAAUUUGUUACCGUUAGAGAACCGUUUAUAUUUUUAAUUUUACUAUUACAAAUAUAUCUCUCCAUAAGGCAUACUAGUAUAAUAAUAAUAUAAACAGGUAAAAAUAUCAAAAACUAACUAGAGCUAAGUAUUUAACCUAUGGUUAACUAAUUUCUAACGGAUUCUAACGGUAGGGAUAUAUUUGAAAAUAUCAGGAUUUUAGUAGGGACAACAUACGAAAGUUGAACUUUGUAGGGAUAUAUUUGCUAUUCACUAUGUUACGAAAGUUGAAUUUUGUAAGGAUAUAUUUAACAUUAUGUUUGUAGAAAUAUGUAUAAAAUUAACUAUAUAAAUUAUAACUUCUUUAGAAGGCCCCAGACUAUAGACCGGGUGUAUGCGAUGACUCAUUUCCCAUGUGUGAGCCCGAUCUCUCUAGGGAUGCAAAUGGAUCCGGGUUGGUGGAGCUCCGCCCCGAUCCGCCCCGAAUGGGGUGGUAAGUGGGAACAAAAAAUAUAAAAAAAUAUAACCCGCCCCGAAUCCGCCCCGAUCCGCCAAGUAAAUGGAGCGGGAGGUGGGAGACUCUUUUCUUCCUUCAAUCCGCCCCGAUCCGUCAAAAAUCCGGCUCCCGCCCGAUCCGCCCCGAAUGGAGCGGUAAGUGGGAGCCAAAAAUAAAAUAAAAAGUAACCCGCCCUGGAUUCGCCCCGCCCCGAUAAGAAAUGGAGCGGGAGGUGGGGGAACUCUCCCGCCCCCGGAUCCGCCCCGUUUGCAUCCCUAGAUCUCUCCAUUAGUCGACAGUCGACACGCACACUUUUACUUUGAGACUUUUCUCCAUUCCAAACCAAUAACAACUCCUCGUUCUUACUCCCCCACACUACUUAAACAUACAUAGUUGUAGCAUCUCCCCUCCCACUGCUCUGCUGCUGCUGCUGCUGCUGCUGCGCCUUCUGAUUCUGAAUAAAAAAAAAUUUGAAUUUGAAUUUGAAUUUGAAUUUGAAUUUGAAUUUAAAGAAUUAAAGAAAGAUGGUGUUUGCGGGAGAAGGCGGCGGCGGCAGCAGCAGCGGCGGUAGGAGGAUGGCGUUUUGGUGGGGGUUCGCGGUGGGGGUGGUGCGGGGGCGGUGGUUCAUGGUGUUCGCGUCGCUGCUGAUCAUGGCGGCGUCGGGGGCGACGUACAUAUUCGGGAUAUACUCCAAGGACCUGAAGGCGGCGCUCGGCUACGACCAGCAGACGCUGAACACGCUGAGCUUCUUCAAGGACGUGGGGGCCAACGUCGGCGUGCUGUCCGGCCUCAUCAACGAGGUCACGCCGCCGUGGGUCGUGCUCGCCAUCGGCGCCGGCAUGAACCUCUUCGGCUACCUCAUGAUCUACCUCGCCAUCACCGGCCGCACCGCCCCGCCCAGCGUCGCCCUCAUGUGCUUCUACAUCUUCAUCGGCGCCAACUCGCAGGUGCCUGACAUUUAUAUAUAUAUAUAGGAUGAUUUUCUGUGCAGUUCAUUCGCUUACGCAGUUAGAAGCUAAAAGAGUAGUAUAGAUAGAGACUCCAUCUCCCUCUUGUUGUUUAGUUUUUUUUCUUUUUUUGAAAUAAAUAGGACCUAACCAAUUUUUCAUUUGUUAAUUUUAUGAUUUUAAUUGUUGAAAUUGUAUCAAGCAGCCUUAAUAAUUUAAGUUAUUGCAGUUUUAUUAAAAUAUUUUUUUUCCUUUUAUUUUACUAUUUAUGUAUACUUUGCAAAAGUAUAUAUAUAUAUAUAUGUAUAGGAUUGAUUUUUUAAAUUAGAAAUUGAAAUAUGAGAUGAGAUAGAAAAAUUAUUGAGCUGGUAUGUAUGUAUGUAUGCAUGCAGGCGUUCGCUAACACGGGGGCGCUGGUGACGUGCGUGAAGAACUUCCCGGAGAGCCGCGGCGUGGUGCUCGGCCUCCUGAAGGGCUUCGUCGGGCUCAGCGGCGCCAUCUUCACGCAGCUGUACUACGCCAUCUACGGUGGCGAGGACUCCAAGUCCCUCGUCCUCCUCAUCGCCUGGCUCCCGGCCGUCAUCUCCAUCCUCUUCGUCCACACCAUCCGCAUCAUCCCCUACCCGCGCGGCCGCCAUGCCGCCGAGACCACCUCCCCCUUCUACUGCUUCCUCUACAUCUCCAUCGCCCUCGCCACCUACCUCAUGGUCGUCAUCGUCGUCGAGAACCAGGUCGCGUUCUCGCACGCCGAGUACAGCGUCGGCGCCGCCGUCCUCGUCGUCCUCCUCUUCCUCCCCCUCGCCGUCGUCGUAAAGCAGGAGGUCAGGAGCUCCAAGCAAGAAGACGGCGUCGAUCGUUCAUCCUCCUCUAAUCCUCCGAACGGUCCCCCGCUGACCAGCAUCGCGAUCGUCGAGAAGACGUCUGCGGAGGAGGAGGAGGAGCCACGAAAGCGGUCGUGCGUCACGAACAUGUUCAGCCCUCCGGCGAGGGGCGACGACUACUCGAUCCUGCAGGCACUGGUGAGCGUGGACAUGAUCGUGCUGUUCGUGGCGACGAUAUGCGGGGUGGGCGGCACGCUGACGGCGAUCGACAACAUGGGCCAGAUCGGGCAGUCGCUCGGCUACCCGACGAGGAGCAUCAACACCUUCGUCUCGCUGGUGAGCAUCUGGAACUACGCGGGCCGCGUCGCCGCCGGGUUCGCGUCCGAGUUCCUCCUCGCCAAGUACAAGUUCCCGCGCCCGCUCGUGCUCACCUUCGUGCUCCUGCUCGCCUGCGUCGGCCACCUCCUCAUCGCCUUCGGCGUGCCGCAGUCGCUCUACGCCGCCUCCAUCAUCAUCGGCUUCUGCUUCGGCGCGCAGUGGCCGCUGCUCUUCGCCAUCAUCUCGGAGGUGUUCGGCCUCAAAUACUACUCGACGCUCUACAACUUCGGCUCCGUCGCGAGCCCGAUCGGGUCGUACAUACUCAACGUGAGGAUCACCGGGCACUUGUACGACCGCGAGGCCGCGAAGGAGAGCGACGGGCUCGCCGGAGUGGUCGGCAAGGACACGACGUGCAUGGGAGUGCACUGCUUCAAGCUCUCGUUCAUUAUAAUAAGCGCCGUGACCGUGGUGGGGGCCUUGGUCUCGUUGAUACUGGUGUGGAGGACAAGGAAGUUUUAUAAGAGGGAUAUAUAUGCUAAAUUCAGAGACUCUCCUCCUACUGUGGAUAUUGUGGAGAAUAAUAGUAAUAGCAAUGGGGUGGUGGGGGAGAGUGUUAAUGGAGUGGAGGAGAAGUGUGUUGCAGAGAAUAAUGGAGUGAAUGGGGUGAGGUUAAUAAGAGAAUAGGUUUGUUUGUUUUUAAUUUCAAAAAAGAAGAGAUUUGUAAUUGUAUAAGCUAGCCAAAAAACUCAUAUUUAUUUAGUGUGUGAAAGAUGAUAUAUAAAAGAAUAUUUCGAGCUUCUUUUUCAUUAAACACACUUUUAUCUAGGAGAAAUAUAAUAAUAUGCAUUAAGUUCAUACUCCUUCAAAUAUUGUUAAGAGUUCAAAUAUAUUAUAUAAUUUAUAAAAGAGAAAAAAAUAAUUUAUAUUGCGUUCCAUACAGCUAAUAAGAUGCUUUUAGAUUUAAUAAAUUUUAUUAGAUAUGUUAUAUAUAUUUUUGGAGUCGAUUUAAGCCGACCUAGGCCAAAAACUUUCGAACAAUUAGUAAUACCGGAGUCUAGACUCAGGUGCUUAGUGCAUUCAAAAACAAAAUUGGAAUUUAAAUAGGAUUUUGUGCUCACAUGGAGAGUGACUUUUCAAACAAAAAAAAUUCUGAAUUUGGACUCAUAGUGAAGUUGAUAGAGACAUUGCAACAAUAAUCUUCAAUUCAUUAUUUUUGGGGGGUUAUAGAUUAAUUUACAAGCAAUUGAGUCAAUAUGAAUCUCUUUAGUGAUAGAGGACUAGGGGUGGAAACGAGCCGAGCUCGAGCGAGCUUAUGUCAGCUCAAAUUCGGCUUGAAAUUAAUUUCGAGCCUAAAUCUAGGCUCAUUUAAUUCGAGCGAGCUCGAGCGAGCCUAAUUUUUGAGUCGAGCCGAGCUCGAGCUCUAAACGAGCGAUUGAAAUUCUCGACAUUAUAUAAUCAAUGGUUUAAUUUAUAUAGAACAUUACUUAUAAUUUGAUGCAAUAUGUCCAAUAGUUCAAAAUACAAAAAUUACAAAGAAAUGUGAGCUUAGGGUGACUGCCUGACUGGGGUGAGGGCCUGAGAGAGAGAGAGAAAAUGAGACGAGAGAGAGAGAUGGGGGGGGGGGGGGGAAUUAGGAAUUUGAAAAUUUGAAUGUUAUAUAUUUUUAGUGUUAUGUGCAAUAGUGAAAAUCUGAAAGAGAGAGUGUGUUAUAUAAAUUUUAGAAUUGGCUCAAUUGCACGGUUGUACUUAUUGGGUUUAUUUUAUGGGCCAACAAUAAUGGCCUAAAUUAAAUUAAAGCCUAUAUAUAAUAAAAUACAUUAUAUAUAUAUAUAUAUAUAUAUCGAGCUUUUCGAGCUUUUCGAGCCUAAUUCGAACGAGCCGAGUAAUACUCAAGCUCGGCUCAUUUAAUUUCGAGUCGAGCUCGAGCGAGCUGAAUAUCGAGCCGAACACGAGUCGAACGCGAGCCGGCUCGCUCGUUUGCCAGCCCUAAUAGAGACAUUGCAUUUAUUCAAUAUUUUCAUUUGGAUUAAUUGAUUUUUCUCCUACUAUAAAAGUUACUGAUUAGGCAAUAGUAUUACAAAUACAACACUGAACUGAGUUCAGCUACUAUAUAUCCGUUUAGAAAAACGAAAACUUUCGUCCUGUUAAGUCGUUUUAGAUGAUAUGAAUUUCGGAUCUAUGAUCGGAACCGUUAAACUUGAUUUAGAGUAUUUAUAACGUCUAGAAAUAAAAUUUUAUAAAAUUUGAAAUUCGUUAUCAAGUUCAUUGAAGAGUCGAAAAGGAAUAACCUUGUGAAAAUAGAUGUUAGACUUUUUUAAUUUAUGAUCGGGAUUAUCAAACGUUAUCUAAAUAGUAUAAAAAAUUUUGUAUCAAAAAUUCAAAUUGUUUGGAUUGUUUUAUAUCGUUAAAUAAGGAAACAACUCAUAUAGACCGUCAAAAACUGUUGAUUUUGUGAUUCUUUGAUACUACAUAAAUAAUUUUUAAAAUUUUUAAAAUUUAGUUUCUAAACAUUUUAAAUACUCUAGAUCAAUUUUAACUGUUACGUUCAUCGAUUCGAAAUUUAUGUUAUCUAAAACGACUUAGAAGAUUGAAGACCCCCAUCAUUCUAAAAGGAUAGUAGCUGAAUUCCACAUAAUCCUAGAUUAAGGAUUCUCUUCUUUUUUUUCAGUAUAAAAGGAAGCCAUUUUCAUUGUAAUAAACAAAAGAUAAUUUUAAUAUUGACAGAUAAAAAUUUCAAAUAUGAUUUGUUGGAAGCAUGAUUUUCACCGAAACCAAUUAUUAGAAUCGGUAUUUGUGCUGAUACCGAUUAUGUAACACGUGACCUAAAAUAGAACAAAAUAUAAUAUGAAGAAGAGAUAUUGGAUUAGAAAGAUAACUAAACUAAUACUUUAUUAAUUAAAAAAAUUUAAUUAUACCCUAGAGACAGUGCACUUAUGCAACCACAUUUACUAGCACUUGUUACUCUAAUUAACCAAUGCCUAACAAUAUAUUAUAAAGUCAUACCAGAUGAUAAAUCCAAUUUUUAUUUUGAAUAAUUAUAAAAUAUAAUUUGAAUAAACUUUAUUUCUAAUUCAAUUUUAGAUUAAGUUUGGAUUAUUAUUUUGCAACAUGAAUGUUAUUUAUUGAUUGAAUUCGGUAAAGAUGACCCCUCGAAAUAGCAGAUUUAAUGUAUGUUAUAUAUAUACAUCUGCAUCCUAGUGAAUCUACAUAAGUAAGGCUUAGUUUGGUAUUGAGGUCUAUCUAACGCUAAUAGAUAAAAUGGAGUUGUGGAAAAAGCAUAUAGAAAUAUGUUUAUGCGUUAUACGGUAGAACCGCAGAAAAUAUAUUGUAACCGACUCAUCGAUAUGCGGAGCGCAAUAUUACAUACAGAAACAAACAGGAUAUUUUUUCAACGUACUUUCUCACCGCACGUAACGCAAUCUCCCCGCAAUCCCAAACGAAGCCUAAAUAAAUUUAUAAUAUUCCAGUAAUUAAUCACAUAACUUAUGGAAGUGUGGACAAGUAUCCCAAUUGAUAGAAGCAUUCAACCGAAAUUGUUGUCUAAACUCUACUAUUGUAUUUUUUUUUGGGUAAACUUCAAAUACCACCCUCAUGGUUUCCUACUUUUUUACUUUAGUAUCCUAUAGUUUAAAGUGUAUCAAUUUAGUACCCUGUGGUUUAAUUUUUCUCUUUUUGUCGGCUCCUCCGUUAAUAUUUCGUUAAAUUAUAUACAAAAAACCUUCAGAUAUCCUACCUAGAUUUAUCGAAUAUUCACUUUAGUACCUUUUAGUUUUAACUUUGUCACUGAUUUAAUAAAAAAAAUUAAUAGAGGAGAUAAUAAAAAAAGAAAAAUAAAACAACAUGAUACUAAAUUAACAUAUUUUAAAAUACAGAGUAUUAAAGUGAGAAAUGCGAAACUACAGGAGUAGUAUUUGAAGUUUUUAUUUUUUCUUUUUUUAAGGAGAAACAAAGAAG